GGUGACUAGUGACAGAGUGAGGGAGCGGGUGACACAGUGACAGAGUGAGGGAGCGGGUGACACAGUGACAGAGUUAGGGAGGGAGUGACUAGUGACAGAGAGAGGGAUGGGGUGACUAGUGACAGUCACCCCCUCCCUCCCUCUGUCACUAGUCACUCCCUCCCUCUGUCACCAGUCAUCCCCUCACUCUGUCACUAGUCACCUCUUCCCUCCCUCACUUUGCCACUAGUCAUCUCUUCCCUCCCUCCCCCACUCUGUCACUAGUCACCCACUCCCUCACUCUGUCACCAGUCACCCCCACUCACUGUGUCUCCCCCUCACUCUGCCAC